ACUCCUACGGGAGGCAGCAGUGGGGAAUCUUGGACAAUGGGCGCAAGCCUGAUCCAGCCAUGCCGCGUGAGUGAUGAAGGCCUUAGGGUCGUAAAGCUCUUUCGCCAGGGAUGAUAAUGACAGUACCUGGUAAAGAAACCCCGGCUAACUCCGUGCCAGCAGCCGCGGUAAUACGGAGGGGGUUAGGCGUUGUUCGGAAUUACUGGGGCGUAAAGCGCGCGUAGGCGGAUUAGUCAGUCAGAGGUGAAAUCCCAGGGCUCAACCCUGGAACUGCCUUUGAUACUGCUAGUCUUGAGUUCGAGAGAGGUGAGUGGAAUUCCGAGUGUAGAGGUGAAAUUCGUAGAUAUUCGGAGGAACACCAGUGGCGAAGGCGGCUCACUGGCUCGAUACUGACGCUGAGGUGCGAAAGUGUGGGGAGCAAACAGGAUUAGAUACCCUGGUAGGAAAGC
rnacentral:rRNA from 1 species